UGGGAUAUCCCGGCGAAAGCCGGAUUAUUACCCCAUACACUCUCUGGAGGAGAGCGGGGGGUCCCUUCAGCCCUCGCGCUACGGGCGCCCCAUAUGUCAUAUUAUCUUUUUGGUGGUGUAGGCCCUCCCCGCCGACAAUAUCUGUCUCUGGUCAGAGAAGAACACCCCCCACUGUGGCAGUGACACACCCCCCACACUCCUACGGGACGCCGCUGUGGAGAUUUUUGCACUGUGGGCGAACCCCUGAUCCCGCUGUGCCGCGUGUGUGAAAAGCGCCUUCGUUUUGUAGCGCUUUUUUGUCCAGAGAGAACUCCUUUGCUUUAAUACCGCGGGGAUAUGACUGUCCCAGAAGAAUACGCCCCCGCUAUCUACGUGCCCGCCCCCGCGGUUAUACAUGGGGUGCACGCUUUACUCAGAUUUACUGGGCGUAACGCGUGCGCGCGCUGUUCUGUAACACAUAUGUGAUCUCCCCGGUCUUACCCUGAGAUCUGCUUUUGUGACUGCGGCGCUAGAAUAUGGCAGAGGGGUGUAGAUUUCCAUGUGUAGCUGUGAUGUGCAUAGAUAUGUGGAAGAAUACC
rnacentral:rRNA from 1 species